UACGGAGGGUGCAAGCGUUAUCCGGAUUCACUGGGUUUAAAGGGUGCGUAGGCGGGCAGGUAAGUCCGUGGUGAAAUCUCUGAGCUUAACUCAGAAACUGCCAUGGAUACUAUUUGUCUUGAAUAUUGUGGAGGUAAGCGGAAUAUGUCAUGUAGCGGUGAAAUGCUUAGAUAUGACAUAGAACACCAAUUGCGAAGGCAGAUUACUACACAGUUAUUGACGCUGAGGCACGAAAGCGUGGGGAUCAAACAGG
rnacentral:rRNA from 1 species